rnacentral:rRNA from 1 species
CAAUAGCGUAUAUUAAAGUUGUUGCAGUUAAAAAGCUCGUAGUUGGAUUUCUGGAUGGAGCGACCGGUCGGGCAUUAAUUUGUCUGCACUGGAGUCGGUUCCGUCCAUCCUCUUGGAAAGUGCGUCGGGCAUUAAGUUGUUUGGCGUAUGAUCCAAGUCGUUUACUGUGAAAAAAUUAGAGUGUUUAAAGCAGGCCUUCGCCUUGAAUACAUUAGCAUGGAAUAAUAAGAUUGGACUUUGGUCUAUUUUGUUGGUUUGCAGACCGAAGUAAUGAUUAAUAGGGAUAGUUGGGGGUAUUUAUAUUCCGAUGUCAGAGGUGAAAUUCUUAGAUUUUCGGAAGAUAAACUUAUGCGAAAGCAUUUACCAAGGAUGUUUUCAUUAA